rnacentral:lncRNA from 1 species
UUGUGUACUUUGUACCGGUAGGUUGGCAGCGCGCGUACAGAUUUUUGGGCCGAAUCGUUCCGGUGUUUCAGUUUCUCCGGCGGGUUCCAGUGAAGGUAGAAGAGCAGAAGAACCCCAAAGUCAUCCAGAGUUGCAAACCGCUGGCGAAUGAUCGAGAUUUGGCUGAAACGACCCUGAUGCGGUCACGUACACCAGAGAAAAGACCAUGUGCCGUUGACUACGUACCGUUGAUUGACCACGAGGUAGAGAGCAUGAGAUCAGAAAGGGAGAGAAAGAUUAGCACGAUGAUCGAUCGUUGUAGUGCAGAAGUGGAUUACGGGGAAUGGCUUCGUCACAGCGUAGUCAUCAACGCCACCAUGAUCAUCCACCAAAAACAACAACAACAGCCGAUGAAGGUGUAGCUAAACAGACGGAAGAAAGACGCGCAGAGAAACUGCCAACGCGCUCGAGGUGUAGAGGAGGAGAAGCGUGCGGCGGGGAUAGAGACGGCCAGGGUCCAAAAGAAGUAUAAAAGUAUAACAUACAUGGUAAGUAAACAUUACGUGUAAACUAGUUUAUUUAAAAAAAUAACCGUUUUACCUUUAGUUCUCAGGCGUAAAAAGAAACGUAUGCAGCGAAUUAAUGUUACAAAUGAAUGAAAUAUAAAGGAGUGUCAUUGUUUCAAGUA